AAAUGGAGACCAAGACUCAAAAUGCCUGAAUCUCAUGGAGGACUUCUCACUCACAGCACUGCAGAAGUCAGAUGUGCUGAAAGUCAUGGACCUAAACAGUGGCACUCCCUGAGUUCCAUUGGACUACAUCCUAUGGUUGCUGUGCAGCCCAAGAUACAAAGUUACAGGAUCUAAGGGCCCGCUCAUCCAAAGAACCAAACACAGAAGCUGUUGCCCCUUAUACAAAAGAAGCCAAAAGAACUCCCACGCCAUGGUUCAACCACACCUUCAUACUCUGCUGGUUCUCAAUCACGAUGCCACUGUCCUGGGAAAGCUGGAGGAAGGGCUGGAGCCCAAACUGGAAGUUGUACCCAGAACUUCCUUAUGGUAAACGUCUGAGAACAAAGUGUAAUAUGUGGAUCAGUCUGAAUGGGGAGAAAACAAAGCAGAGUUCCUGGAAGUAUAUGGAAAACAACUGAGAAGAGCAUGGUGAUUUUGGAAGCAAACUGCCUAUGGCUCUGUGACUACUCGGUGUUGGUAAGCCCACGCUGUUGCCCUUUCUCAUUUGUUAGGUGGAGGCAACCAUAGCACUUGCUUAUGAGAACUCUAUGAGAAACCAAUGAGUCCAUGACUACCAUACUUGGGGAAGGCCAUGGUAUGUUUACUCUACCGUGAGCACCAGCUCUACUGUGUAUGGAAUGACUGGUCCCUGAGGAGCCAACCUCUGGAUAAGUGGUAGAGACACUGAGUUAGAACACCGUAGUCCUUACCCCAGCUCUCGCUCAAUGGGUGAAAGGCAUUGGUCACAUGCUCCUUCCCUUUGGACACCAGGGCCUCCCAACCCCUUAUACUGAGAAAGUUAAUUAGAAACACCUAGUUCCAUCUGGUAUAUCGCAUAACGUAUUUUAGAAGUAAAGGCUUAAUUUUCAGAAGAUAUCAAAAUUGUCAAGGACUCUCUGCAGUAUUUAAUUCUAAUAGUUAACAGGAUCCACUGAUCAUUCUCCUUUGCUCUGACAUCGCACAAAGCAGAUCAGGCUGGCAGUUCACUUUCCAACCCACUGGACUGUGAAAGCUCACUCCCCUGAACACCUGAAAGGAUGAAAACAGAGAAGGUGGGGUUGCUUCCUGGUCCGUUGAUGAUCUUGUCACAAUGUUAGUUAAUGUUCUAUGACAGAUGAGCAAGCUGCCUCUGGCCUCUUUGAUAAAUUCACUACUUGCAU